AGCCACUCCGCACUGUAAUUGCAUUUGCUGACCUGACUGCUGACCCUAUCGGAUCCUGGGAAAAUGACAUUAACUGGUGGUCCUACCCUAUGACUGCAGAGUACUGUGAACAGGUAAACUUGUUCAAAGCGUGAGGACUUACCUCUGAGCCAGCGUGCCCCAGGCGCCGUGCUUGUUGUUGCUGCACAUUUGUCAGCUGCACAUCCAUGAUGUGAAUCUCCUGC